rnacentral:sRNA from 1 species
UUGGGAUCGAGACGGAAAUCAGCAUCGCCGCGCUCAAUCAUAGACUGACAUUCAUCUCAACUCAACAUCCAGAUUUGAUUAGCCAGCACGGACUUUUCGCGAUGGUUAUGUGGUGAUUAUGGAGGCCACAGGGAAAAAUCAACAAACGUCAAGGAUAACGCGAUAAAUCAAACCAGCCAUGAAGGUAUCUUUAUGGGAAGUACAAAUCAUAUCUCAAAACGAUCUAUCAACAAAUUAAGAUAACGACAUGAAGGUUUAUUCCCUUAUAGAUACGGUAGACACAAACAAGGGAAGGCAGGCUGGAAAGGUGGGAAAGUCUGCUGGUGAGUCGUCAGCACGACAGAGGAUAAGUGUCUGGAAUUGGGAAAACCCACUCUAUAUCACAGUAAGCGAUAUAUUGUGAUCUAUACGUUUCGAAACAGGUGUUUCUACCCCAUGAAAGUGUCGAUCCACCUCCCGAAACUCUGCUUGGCAUUCUAUUCUGCUUUUGGAAAUGUGUCUUGCCCCUCCAACUUUUCCUCUCGUACGCUCACAACAUAUCUCUUCUUCCAAUCCCAGGCAAUGGUGUCGUCAUACAAAAACUUAAACCUAUCCUCCAUUCCAUUCUCAAAGAAGCAUUCCAACUCCUCCCGCAGCUCUUCCUCACUCCUACGCAACAAGUGGGGCACGACCCACUCCCUCAGCAUGUACAGAUCAGCCGAGGCCUUGCUCUCUCCUUGGACGUCCCAGGAUACUUCCCUAUAUGGUCGACUAUUCUUUCCGCAAUCCGAUGGAUGGAAAACCCUGAAAGUGAUAUGACUCGCACUUGUCUCAUGGAAAAAAACCAGCAAAAAAUUUGUGAGUCGUCUGAGUCGACUGAGAUUAUAGUCCCUGUUCGACCACACUUGCUCUGUCGGGAAGAGGCAUAGAUCGAAAGAGAUGUGGCAUGGGGGGAUGUAUGAUGGCAGAAGAGCUUCGAACAUCCCUCCAGGACCAUCAUAUGGCUCCCAAAGAGAAUGCCCAAAGUGGAUAUGUUCCAGUCUGGAGAAAAGUGGCCUUGGCAAGCUGGAAAGUUCAAACAGAUCGUGUAAAGCGGCUCUCAGUGGAUCACCUCUCCCAUUAAUCCCUAUCUCAAGCCUCUUAACAUGGCUUAGCGCCUGGGCUUUGUAUCCGCGAGGAGAUGUGACCCCAUAGAGAAUUUGUUUGACAUUGGUACUAUCGACUGGAAGGGUGUGGUAUAGUUUGGGUAGUAGGUAGUUGAAUAUGGAUUUGGAGAGAGUGAGAAGGUGGAGGGGAUUAAUUUCGCGGAGGAUAAGAUGGUGAACUUCGUGGAUCGGGGCAAGUGUCGUUAAAGGGAUAUAUGGAGUCUCAGGCAUCUGGACGGGGUUGGUGAAUUAUUGUGUAUGCUGUUGCUCUUGAUAUAACUGUGUAGUUAAGAAUAAGAGUGCACGGCGGAACUUUGACGGGGUCAAGGUCUGUCAUUAUAUGCAUCAUCACAACGCGACUUCGCGUAUUCUUUAUCGUGU